rnacentral:lncRNA from 1 species
AUCAACAGAAAGCAAAACAAUCAAAACAAUUAAUGAGGAUGAUGAAGAUGGAGGACAGGAGCACCAGUAUCCACAGCAUCCUGAGGAGGAAACAUCAACAGAGGACAGAGACUUCUAUUCACCAAAACAAUGUAAGCAAAAAUACUACACGUUUAAUAAAAAAAAAAAAAUAGGUAGAUGUUACGCUAUACUAAUACCUGUAAAAUGUCAGACAGGAGCACCAGCAUCCACAGCAUCCUGAGGAUGAAACAUCACCAGAGGACAGAAAGACUUCUAUUCACCAAAACAAUCAAUAGUUUUGCUUCAGAGGAGAAUCCGACAGUUCCAGAUGUUCGUCACCAGCACUGCAGUGUUUACACAGACUGCUUUGGUUUCAACUUUUUACAAAAAAACUGUUGAAUUUUCAACUCACUUUCCAUCAGAAUCCAAGCUCAUCUUCAUCACUGGGAUGUUUCUUCAUCAGUUCUUCAUACAGACUGACACAGCUCACACAUGGAGAAGAUGAUUUAUGGAAUAUGACAUUUAGACUUUUCCUUUUCUCAACAGUAUGAUGCAUACAUCCCAACCCAAAUUUCAUGCAUUUUUUUGGCUUAACUUGAGCCAAUUUCUAUCAAUAAAUUGCUAAUGUAUUAUUGUUAUUGACUAUUA